CACGCGUGUGCACGCACACACGUGAACACACAUGAAUCUGCAGGUAGAGCCCAUCUCUCUGACGCUUUAUAGCGAAAUAGCAGGUAGGCGGCUAGUGUUCCUGGAGUGGUGGCAUUUCCUUUCUUCAUCCAACACCUUCAGGCGAGUUCAGCCCCCAGGCUGGAAAGGACUUGGGGGCAUCAGGGAAAACAUGACCAGGCGUGGGAUUGGCAGUCUUCUUAAGAGAAGCUUUCUGGCUCCCUUGAGGCCAUUCCACUGAGAUUAUGGGUGUGGCUGGACCUGGCACCAUCUCCCAUGUACCCAGCAGAUGCCCAGACCCCUGCCCACACCAGGCUGGGGUCCCACCACUUGGCUAUCUCUGCAGACCACAAUCCCUGCUCAAGCCCUGUCUCCUGGCUCCUCUGACACCCCAUUUAGUGUGUCUACUAGAGGUCAUGCCAUGAAAGAAGACAAGCUUCCCAGAGUCUCAGGCUUUUAAAAAUUGUUUAUUGGUUUAUUUUCAUUUCUUCAGUUUGGCUGAUUGGCCCCCACCAGUAGGAGGAGUCUUGGCCUAGGUGGUCCUGAGAGGUGAAUUUGCAGAUUCGGCAGUGACCCCAGUUGACCUGACAGCCUCAAGCAGAGAUGCUGGCGGUGUUGCUUGUCAGUGUUGAGGGGCAGCCAUGUCAUUACACAGACGUCUGGGUUGGCCCCCCUCUCUGCAGCAACUUUGGGGGAUUCUUAUCUUACCACUCAUCAGUGAGCCUCAGAUAGCCUCUGCCUGUUCUCAAUGGCCUUCUGAAAGGUCAGCGGGGCAGCCGCCCACCCAGUGACUGGAUGACACUCUGGUCACUGCCAUCUGCAGCCCCAGAACUCACCACCAGGCUGGGGUGAUAUCCUGUCCCCUCUGGAAAACCCACACUUCACACCGUGUGACCGUGUGACCGACUCCA
rnacentral:lncRNA from 1 species